GUUCACCAAUAAAUGUGUCAUCUCACAGUAAAGAAGUGGUAGAUAGUGCAGCCGCUACGUUCACUGUAAAAUGUGAUGUCAGUAGUUUGACUGCACAAGUAACAAACGUCGUGUGGAAAUUGGGAGAAACGAUCUUGACCGAUAACAGCACCUACACACCAGAUGUGGGAGCAGCUUCGUACAGUAGUGGAGAUGGAACAGAUGGAACACAAACAACCACCUUGGAGGUGGCAGGUUCUGAUAAUACAAGGGGUAACUUGCAGUUUACUUGUGAAGUUACUGAUCCUGUGGAUUCUGGUGCUACACCCGUGAAGCCAACUGCUGACCUGAUAUUUUACACUAUAACUCCACACGAUAGAAGGAUUACAACUGGUGUAGUACAGACAAUAUCAUGUGACAUAACCGGACUGGGAAGUGCAGCUGAUAUCACGUGGAAAGACCCUGGCGGGAAUGAUAUUUCUACUGGUGACACUUCUAACUAUAUUGUCGAUGAUGGGACAGCUGCAUUUGCAAAUGGAGCACAGACACCAAAACUAACUAUAAAAACAGCAAUCUUGUCGACGAUCAGCUCUGCUACAUCUUACAAAUGCUCAGUGACGUCAGGAUAUUAUCCUGGAUCCCCAGUAUACGAAAAGAGCGUUGUAGUUACUCCCAUCGGUAACAUAACAAACAACGGAACAUGUGUAACAGUAGCCGGCAACAAGCUCUGCAAUGUAACGGUGACGUGGACACCACGUGUGAGUGAGACAGGAUCAAUAUUUGCUAUGAUAGUACCUGUCCUAUUCGCUGUGGUAAUGUUUGUGUUGCUUCUUGUUAUUGUAGGUUACAACCCCUGGACAGAUAUUAAGAACACGUACAGAAGAAACACUAUUCUAUUGUACUCUAAGAAAAUUUUAGGGAGUACCCAGUAUGGAAAAAUUAAAGGAGAGUUAAGUGAGUUUAAACUUAAAAAGAAGGAAUUAAACAAAAAAGAUUACAAAGUUAUAGAAGAUGAUUUAUUGAAAGAGGAAAUAAUAAGUAUUAAUUUUGAGGAAAUAUUUAUUAAGGAUUGGAAAGUAACAAAAGGUGAUGUUAAAGGAUUUAUAAAACGUAGACAGAUUUUCUUCGGAUGUAUAACUUUACCAUUACGUUGUGCACAUAUCCUUUUAAUUUCACAACUUAUUAUUUUACCAAUAUUUGCUAUAUUCUGGGAUGUGGUGGACGUUAUCUUUGACACGUAUUAUUUUCAUAAACUAGAGCGUGGUGAGUUAAUAGAUCCCUUAAUUUACAGAAAUACUCACGUUAAUAAUAGUAUAUUAGGAUUUGCAUGUUUAGGUGCUAUUAAAAGUACGAUAGUUGCUUUCUGUUAUAUUAGUGUUGUGAAUGUUAACAAGAAGGACAGGGAGUGGCACAACAGUGCGGUGUUACUUACAUUGGCAGCUGCAUGUCUUAAAUUAUUGUUAGAAGAUGCACCUGAGUUAAUAUUAGAAUACUUUUAUGUAGACAAAUUUAUUAUUGAUAACCCUCCUUGGUUUCUAGUAGCAAAGGACGUUGUUACUGCAUUAAUUUAUAUUUUACCGGUUAUAAAGAUAUUAAAGUCAGGUGUUAAGGAUUUUAAGUUACUUAAGGAAGAAUAUGACAGUUUGGAUGUAAAAUUAUUUUACAUUCCAGCAACACUAGCAAGAGGAUGUAUGAGUUUUACUAUGAUAUUUAGAAUAGUUGGAAUGAUUAUCCAGUACAUGGGUAGUACUGUUAAUGCAGAGUGUUUUGUUGUAUUAGAUAAUGCGUUACAACAGACACCUUUCGCAUUGGGUUGUUUAAACUGGUGCGAUUAUACAAUACUGGUUUUUACUUGUUUAACUUUAUUAUCGUCAAUACCAGGAGUUAUCUACGUUAUCAUUGAAUCCGUUAAAAGAAUUACUUAGCAUUUACAUUGAUUGAUAAUUCUGUUCACGCCAAUAAGUACCGAUAUUUUAUUUCAAUAUU